rnacentral:rRNA from 1 species
ACCUACGGGGCGCAGCAGUGGGGGAUAUUGCACAAUGGGGGGAACCCUGAUGCAGCGACGCCGCGUGGGUGAAGGAGUGCUUCGGCAUGUAAAGCCCUAUCGGCAGGGAAGAAGCAAGACGGUACCUGACUAAGAAGCCCCGGCUAACUACGUGCCAGCAGCCGCGGUAAUACGUAGGGGGCAAGCGUUAUCCGGAUUUACUGGGUGUAAAGGGAGCGUAGACGGCAAUACAAGUCGGAAGUGAAAUACCCGGGCUCAACCUGGGAAUUGCUUUGGAAACUGUAUGGCUGGAGUGCUGGAGAGGG